GAGAGACGCUGGCGGCGUGGAUUAGGCAUGCAAGUCGAACGGUAUCAUCCUUCGGGGGUGAGAGAGUGGCGAACUGGUGAGUAACACGUAGGUUAUCUACCUCAAGACGGGGACAACCCAGGGAAACUUGGGCUAAUACCGGAUGUGAGCAACUUUUAGUUGUUUGAAAGGUGGCGUAAGCUGUCGCUUGGGGAUGAGCCUGCGUCCUAUUAGUUAGUUGGUGAGGUAACGGCUCACCUAGGCAAUGAUAAGUAGGCGGCCUUAACGGGUGGUCGCCCACACUGGGAUUGAGAUACGGCCCAGACUCCUACGGGAGGCAGCAGUCGAGAAUAGUCUACAAUGGUCGGAAGACUGAUAGUGCGACGCCGCGUGAACGAUGAAUCCCUUCGGGGUGUAAAGUUCUUUUAUAUGUGAGCAGUGCUUCUUAUAUUAACAGUAUGGGGAGAGAGAUAUUAGCAUAUGAAUAAGCAACGGCUAACUCCGUG
rnacentral:rRNA from 1 species